GACGAACGCUGGCGGCGUGCCUAAAACAUGCAAGUUGAGCGCUGAAGGUUGGUACUUGUACCGACUGGAUGAGCAGCGAACGGGUGAGUAACGCGUGGGGAAUCUGCCUUUGAGCGGGGGACAACAUUUGGAAACGAAUGCUAAUACCGCAUAAAAACUUUAAACACAAGUUUUAAGUUUGAAAGAUGCAAUUGCAUCACUCAAAGAUGAUCCCGCGUUGUAUUAGCUAGUUGGUGAGGUAAAGGCUCACCAAGGCGAUGAUACAUAGCCGACCUGAGAGGGUGAUCGGCCACAUUGGGACUGAGACACGGCCCAAACUCCUACGGGAGGCAGCAGUAGGGAAUCUUCGGCAAUGGACGAAAGUCUGACCGAGCAACGCCGCGUGAGUGAAGAAGGGUUUCGGAUCGUAAAACUCUGUUGGUAGAGAAGAACGUUGGUGAGAGUGGAAAGCUCAUCAAGUGACGGUAACUACCCAGAAAGGGACGGCUAACUACGUG
rnacentral:rRNA from 1 species